rnacentral:lncRNA from 1 species
AAAAUUUUGUAUGUGAUAAUUCAUAUUCUGAAUGAAUGAAGCGGGUAGCGUGCUACCUUUUUCUCAAAAAAAAAAUUUGUAUGUGAUCAUUGUAAUGUAAAUUGAUUCUAAAAUAUAUAUUAAAAAUAAAAUUUAUAUUGUACAAUAAAUUAUUUAAUAUAAAUAUUUUAUAUUUAUAUAUUUUAUAUUAUAUUCUAUUUUAU